UUUCUGUAACAGGGGUGCUAGGCUCGACCUGGCUGAGAUUAAAACUAUUCGGUUUUUGACCCUCGAACCUGAUAUGGAUAAUGCCAGCGCAGGAAGAUCAUUUUUUACGUUU
rnacentral:ncRNA from 1 species